CUGACCCCCGCGGCGACGUGGCGCAAGGAAAACAUAAAUGUCCCAAUCUAUUCUCAUUGGAAUAGUAAAAUGAGGCCUUCUGCUCAGAGUCCCCAAUGGGCCAAGUCCAAGGAUGCCAGAGGAUCAGAGAAUGCAUCUGUGAAAAUGGAGUUGGAGAGGCAGAUGGAAAAUAGUGAAUAUGUAAGGUUAGCUUCCUGAACCAAUUCACUGUCCAUUUCUAUUUGGAAUUCACUGCUAAAGGAUCUGCUUGGUGGAUUCAGAGAACAGCCAUCAUUUUCCCUGGUAACCAGAGUCAGAGACAUCCAAAAGAAACAACCAGCUGUAGGCAAUGUUAAAUAAAAAUCGGAGAUAAAAGUUGAUCAGUAUAUAAUAAUGAGUAACUGAUAUAAAAGUCAAGGAAUAAGAAGAAAUAGCACUUCUUACAGUUAAUAGACUUCAAAAGAUUAAUAUCAAUUUGAUAUUAUUAAAACUUCCUGUAGGGUUAAAUACAUGGGAAUAAUAGUUAGAGGUGAAAUGUUUAAUGAUUUCUUAGUGUUUAUGCUGGGUCCCUUUGAUGGACAAGAUUUCUGUAAAUAUUUUAGUAACUCAUAUGGCUUCUGUUUGUUGUCAACCAUAUUUAUUAGUUAUUCAAACCAGUCCAAUUUAACAACUAUUUACUGAACACCCAGCAUAAGGAAGGCACUGUCUUUUAUUCUGAAUUCAUUGGCUUCUUUACUUUUAUUAAAAUAAAUAACUGCUUUUUCUUUUUACUAACAAUUAGGAAAGAGCAGCUCCUCCUUUCUUAUGUAUUAU